rnacentral:lncRNA from 1 species
UUUAUUGAAAUAGCUUUUCGGGAUCCAACUUAACAAUAGCACUUGAUGAUAUGGAUAAUUAAAUACAGAUAUUGAUGAUUUUAGGCAGAAUAUACAGUUUGUUCGUAUGGGAGAGGUGUGUCGAAAAGAUUUGGCCCCCAACUAACGGGGCAAACUAUAUUAACCCGCCGUGAUUUUAUGCUACAUAACUAAUACGGGUAUGUUUAAAAUAAAUAUGUACUAAUGACCAGACGCCAAAAGAGAAAAAGGGUUUUGUGUAACUUGAUGAUGCUCGUCAGUCGUCCAUUUGUUUGUGGAAUGUGUAAUCCAUGCUUUGAUCUUUUCACCUUUGCCACGGACGGAGAGCAGCUCUGUGGGCCAAAUUGUCAAAAUCACUAUAAAAAGAAGACGUGAAUAAUUGGGCGUUUCUCUCUAUAUAUUUAUAUGGUCAGUACCCAGUCGUGAGAGCACGGCAAUACACUAUGAAUAGACGAUUUCAACUCUUAUUAGACGUUAUUUUCUCAAUUAUUUAUGUACAUAAAUUUAUCUGUUACUCAUUCUCUGCGUGCUUCUUCAUGUCAUGUAUUUUGUACGUUAAAUAAUACACGAAACAAGUCAACAAUCUUAUCUACUUACAUGUGACAAAAAAUUUAGCACUCAACAAAAUUCGCAUUAAAAAUAAGAUAUGGUUAAUCUAUACAGUUGACAAGUAUCUUUGAUGAAAAAUAUGUUUGAUCAGCUCACACAAGAUAUUAAGAUAGAACAAUCUAGUGUUCCCUGUUCUAGUUAAUCGAAAAGAAAAUUAAGCAUAUCUCAACAGUCAACACGGUUUUUGUUUGGUACUUGAAUCUUCAUAUCUAAGAAAAAGGUGCAGAUGUUACUAGAGUCCCACGUCCUUGUAAAUAUAUAUUUCUGGCCCUUUUAACCCCCAAACCCAUCAUCCUUUUAAAACUUAGCUUCAGUUUUAACAUCUUUCUUCUUUGACAAUCAAAUCAAUCCAGAAAGAGGAAAGUGGUUGAUUGUUAAAUAUUCAAUUAAUCAAAUAUAAGCAAAGGUAUACAUAAAGAAGCAGAGGAGGAACAUAAAAAACUUUAAGGGGAUGUGCUUUGUAUUUGUUUGCGAUGAAGAUGAAAGGGUUCUACAAAGACAGGCAGCAGCAGGGGCUUGUCCUUACUGUGGAGGGAUGAUUCAAGUUGUGGAUUUGGAGAGCCAGUGGAAACUCUGCUUUGUUCCCCUUUCUUUCAAGAAAAAACGUAAAUAUUAUUGCACCAUCUGCACUAGGCGUCUAGUUAUCCAGUAAUUAUAUUUCUUGCUAUCUUUGUUUUAUUCUCGCAUCUAUGUAUGUAAGAUCAAUACCUUCAGCGCGGCUGAUUGUUCUAAAAUUGAUUGAGUUCUUACUAAUUUUUUAGAUAUAUUCAAAACGAUUAAAUUAUAUGUGAUUGAAAUUUGAUAAAACUUUAUCUCUAUAUCCGAUUAAUAAAAAUAUAACACAUAUUACCUUAUAUAACUAUAAUUAUUAUUUUUAACCAUAGUUAAAAAAUUACUUGUAUUUUAACAAUUUCUUCGUAGUUAUAUUUGCAACCUUUUUUGGUUACUGCUAAUUAGCUACAAGAAUAUCCUAUGUUUGUCUUACCUGCAAUAUAAUCCUACUAAUGGGUCUGGGGAAGAGGUUGUUUUCGGUAGACAUCAUCGGCUCCCUCCCAACAAGAACUCCACACCUUGCUCUUGGGGUGACUCGAACUCACAACCUCUUGGUUGGAAGCGGAGGGUGCUCACCACUAGAGCAACCCACUCUUGUACCACAUUUUAUGCCAAUUCAUUAUAUGUAUGGCUUUAUAUUUGGAUGCUGGUAUUUCAAAUCUAAGGACGUAACUAACGAUGUUCGGUUAUAAAAAGUUUAAAUUUAUCGUUCUAAUAAUAUGUUGAUAAAAAACAAAUUAAAUAUAUUAAAAUUGUCACAACACAAUUUCCCUUAUAGGACGCGAUGGAGUCCAACGUCGCCGCUAAGCAAACCAACGGUGAACUAGCCAUGUAAUUAUUUUCUUUAAUAAUUUCAAAAUAGUUGAUUUUAUUUAUUAAGUAAAUGAGAAGCGGAAAACUAUAUUAAGGUAAGGCGUGAACCAAUGAAAGAGCAAGACACGAGAAAUAAAUACCAAAAACUAUGAAGUGUCUACUAGCAUAUUCUCAAGACCCGGUGUCACAAGUGUAUGAGAAACUAGUAUAAUAUAUAAAACACCUAUGCUACUGUCUGAAACAAGAUAGAUAGAAAGUAAAUACAAAAGAGAGACUGCGGGUGCUACAGAACGGACUCAGAGAGCAGCUCACCAUUAUGCCUCAGGAUGACGGGGGUGCGCGCCUGAAUGAAUGCCAGAUAAACUUGCCUCAGAUCCUGUACGAUUAGUGCAAAAGUAUAUCGUGAGUACAUAAAUAACAUGUACCCAGUAAGUAUUCAAUCUAACCUCGAAGAAGUAGUGACGAGAGGCCGACAUCGAUAUUUACUACGGGCCAAUAAUAUAAAUACAGAAAUUCUAUAUAGGCAUGAAAUACAUGAAUAAUAAAAA